GAUGAACGCUAGCGGCAGGCCUAACACAUGCAAGUCGAGGGAGAAGCCCUUCGGGGCAGAAACCGGCGCACGGGUGCGUAACGCGUAUGCAACCUACCUUUCACAGGGGGAUAGCCCGAAGAAAUUUGGAUUAAUACCCCAUAAUAUUAUUGGAUGGCAUCAUUUGAUAAUUAAAAUUACGAUGGUGAAAGAUGGGCAUGCGUCCUAUUAGCUAGUUGGAGUGGUAACGGCACCCCAAGGCUACGAUAGGUAGGGGUCCUGAGAGGGAGAUCCCCCACACUGGUACUGAGACAGGGACCAGACUCCUACGGGAGGCAGCAGUGAGGAAUAUUGGUCAAUGGUCGGAAGACUGAACCAGCCAUGCCGCGUGCAGGAAGAAUGCCUUAUGGGUUGUAAACUGCUUUUAUAUGGGAAGAAUAAGGUGUACGUGUACAUUGAUGACGGUACCAUAUGAAUAAGCAUCGGCUAACUCCGUGCCAGCCGCCGCCGGUAACAC
rnacentral:rRNA from 1 species